rnacentral:lncRNA from 10 species
ACAGGGGAGAGUUACCUGUUGCUGUGGGAGCAAUGAGGAGUUAUGGAGGAAAGGAGAGGUACCAAGACCAGACCAAAUCCCUGAUGGCUGGUGUGGCCAGGCAUGUAGUGGAGGCUGGCCCUGGAGAGAAGAGGAACAGAAACUGAUUUUAAUCUCAAGGGGCUGAAGCUGGAGCUCCACAUGUGACCCCCAGAAGCACGGGACCCCAUCCGGGACGCCGCUGUGCAUGCAGCUGUCACAUCUCCCUGGACCCCCCUCUGCUGGCAGUUUCUCAGAUUUUCCUUGUUUUCGAUGACUGGGAUAGUUUUGAAGAGUAAUGGUCAGGCAUGCUGUAGAAUUUCUCUCAGUUGGGGUUUUUCUGAUGAUCUGAUUGGGAUUAUGGAAUUUGGGGAAGAAGACCAUAGAAGUAAAGUGCUAUUUUUAUUA